rnacentral:rRNA from 1 species
AUUGAACGCUGGCGGCAGGCUUAACACAUGCAGGUCGAGCGGAGAGAGGUAGCUUGCUACUGAUCUUAGCGGCGGACGGGUGAGUAAUGCUUAGGAAUCUGCCUAUUAGUGGGGGACAACAUUUCGAAAGGAAUGCUAAUACCGCAUACGUCCUACGGGAGAAAGCAGGGGAUCUUCGGACCUUGCGCUAAUAGAUGAGCCUAAGUCGGAUUAGCUAGUUGGUGGGGUAAAGGCCUACCAAGGCGACGAUCGGUAGCGGGUCUGAGAGGAUGAUCCGCCCCACUGGGACUGAGACACGGUCCAGACUCCUACGGGAGGCAGCAGUGGGGAAUAUUGGACAAUGGGCGGAAGCCUGAUCCAGCCAUGCCGCGUGUGUGAAGAAGGCCUUAUGGUUGUAAAGCACUUUAAGCGAGGAGGAGGCUACUUUAGUUAAUACCUAGAGAUAGUGGACGUUACUCGCAGAAUAAGCACCGGCUAACUCUGUGCCAGCAGCCGCCGCAG